rnacentral:rRNA from 1 species
UGCCUAACAGCUAGCCCAGUAAAUCAAAAACAACAAUUCAUUAUUAAUAACCCCUAAUACAAUAAAGUAAAUUAAACAAAUCAUUUUUCCCCCUUAGUAUGGGCGACAGAAAAG